rnacentral:lncRNA from 1 species
UUUAAUCCCACAAAUUAUGGUUUUUUAUUUAAAAUCUCAUUUAUAUAAACAACUAAAAUUUCUAAUUUUUUAUUUAAAAAAUAUAGUAACUUACAUAGAAAUAAAUUAUCACAUUAAUUUCAGGGAUCUCAAUAAAAAAUUAAAAACCAACAAGGUUUCAAUCAAAGAAUAUUCAUAACUAAGGACCGCAUCUAAAGUCUCCCUUAAUUUAAUCACCUUACAGAAUUAUUGUGUUUUCAGUAUAACAGAGAUUAUUUAAGUUGAUAGAUUAGACUACCAUAAGAUUAAUCGGAUGACUCAUAUAAAAAAGGACCUCACAAGUCCUCAAAGUAAAGACAUUAGAAGAGCACUCCUGCAUAUAAAGUAGGCAAGAAUCGAACCUUUAACUUAUUCUAAUCAUCGCAUCAUCUCUCUGUUUGGGUUAAUAUUUAACUUUGGGCUUAGAAGAGAGAAAGCCCAAAAGAGUUCAAUAAAAGGAGUUUCUGCCCAAAGCCUAGCACCAAGUCCAGAUGUCCACUUUAAGACAACAUGAUGGCUCUUGAUUAAAUGCAAAGAUUAGGUGCUUACAAAGGAAGUGACAAC